GACGAACGCUGGCGGCGUGCUUAACACAUGCAAGUCGAACGGAAAGGCCCUUCGGGGUACUCGAGUGGCGAACGGGUGGGUAACACGUGGGUGAUCUGCACUGCACUUUGGGAUAAGCCUGGGAAACUGGGUCUACUUCCGAAUAGGGCCGCAUGCGUCAGGGUGCGUGGUCGAAAGCUUGUGCGGGGUGGGAUGGGCCCGCGGCCUAUCGGCUUGUUGGUGUGGUAAUGGCCUACCAAGGCGACGACGGGGAGCCGGCCUGAGAGGGUGACGGGCCACACGGGGACUGAGAUACGGCCCAGACUCCUAGGGGAGGCAGCAGUGGGGAAUAUUGCACAAUGGGCGCAAGCCUGAUGCAGCGACGCAGCGUGAGGGAUGACGGGCUUCGGGUUGUAAACCUCUUUCAGCAGGGACGAAGCGCAAGUGACGGUACCUGCAGAAGAAGGACCGGCCAACUACGUGCCAGCAGCCGCCGUAA
rnacentral:rRNA from 1 species